AAUUUUUUCAAAUUGAUUUUGUUUUACUUUCGAUUGGACGUUUUCUAUUAUUUACUUCCAUUCAACGAAAAGCAUAGUCGAUUUCGUACUAUAUAACUGUUACUAAAAUUAAAUACCAAGUAAUAAGACAGCUCAACGCUUUCAAGAAUUCAAUUGGCUGGGUGCGAUGAAAAAUGUAGUUGUAAGGAAUCGUGGUUAAUUGGCAGAACUGGAUAGAUAUCGAGUGGUUUUAGCUAUUUAUAAGAAAAUGUUAUUCACGUAUUAUCUCUUUGCGGUUUUUAUUACACAGGAAUUUACGCUCUCAUCUUCUAGUUCAAGUGAAGAUGUCUCAAUUUCGAAAGAUUUAAAAUUGGAUACCUUAUUCAAACUUCCUUUAACUGACACCUCAGAUUCAACAGAGACGAAAAAAAGUAACUUUAAAGGAAUAUUAUCGGUGGUUAACGAAAAAGGAACAAAAGUACUACAUUGAUAAAUAUCGAAAAGAAAUGAGUCAAGAAGAAAAAGAUCAAGUGAAAUUCUACGAAAAUUUACUUCAACACAUCAAGGGAUUAAGUAAAAAAAUGUCUGUACGCAAAAUAUGAUUAAGCUAAUAAAUAAAUUGCAUCUGAAUUGAA